UACGGAGGGUGCGAACGUUAAUCGGAAUCACUGGGCGUAAAGCGCGCGUAGGCGGUCCGUUAAGUGGGAUGUGAAAUCCCCGGGCUUAACCUGGGAAUUGCAUUUCAAACUGGCAGACUAGAGUGCGGUAGAGGGAGGUAGAAUUUCCUGUGUAGCGGUGAAAUGCGUAGAUAUAGGAAGGAAUACCAGUGGCGAAGGCGGCCUCCUGGAUCGACACUGACGCUGAGGCGCGAAAGCGUGGGGAGCAAACAGG
rnacentral:rRNA from 1 species